GGAGAAAGAAGCAAGGAGAAGAGCUUUUGGGUGGCUGCAUGAUGUCUUGUGAAGGCUGCAGCUUGGCUUACCCAAGAGGAAGAAAAAAAAGGAGAAAUGAGGAGGGGAACAGACCCAAACCCACAAGACAUCAAGUGGCCGUGUAAUAACACAUUGCAAAUGAGUUCACCAUGGGAUUGCAGAUGACUUAAUAGCAUGUAGGUGCCCACAGUGCUCAAGUGACUCACUGCCUUUGCUAUAUCUGUUCAAGCCCACCAUAUUGAGUAAGAGAGCUUUGCCAUCAACAAACCCCUAAUAAAUUCUGCUGCUUGGAAAUAUCCAUGCUGCUUUGGAAAGAAGUAUGGCAUGUCUCAUGCUUUGAGAGCAUCUCAACCCACUCUGCAGGGCUCUGGUAUUUCAA